rnacentral:tRNA from 1 species
AAAAAUUUAGUUAAAAAAUAACAUUAGCUUGUCAAGCUAAAAUUAUUAACAUUAAUAAUUUUUA